CAUGUGUAUGGCGUGACCGCCCUCCCCUUCCCACCAAACCCGCGUCGCCCUCCGCCCCCUCGUUUCGUCUCCGACUCCGACCACGACUUUGAAAAGGUCCAACCGCCACCACCGCACCGACUCCUUCCCGGAAACCCAUCGCUUCCUCCACCGACCCUAGGAGGCUCCGCGGCCUCUACAAAUACCACCCAGCCCCCCCGUGGUUUUCCUCGCGCCGGAGGAUCUGAUUUCUCCUCUCUUCUCCCUCUCGUCCGGUAAGCCGCAGGUAUGGGCUGUCGAUUCCGAUCUAGCGUUCGUGGUGAUUGGCCCGUUGAGAUCCACGUCUGGUGAUUUCUGUUCUGCUUUGUCUCGUUCGGAUUGUAUUCUGCACUAUACGCUGCUUCGAUUUAUGGUCGCGGCUAGCUUUUUUUUUUCGUCUUCUGAUUCCAUCUAGGGUCGUGCCUAUUAAGUUAUUGUCUGAUUGCUUUAGGGUUGUGGCUUACAUAUUAUCUAUGUCCUAAUUUCUCACUUGAUCCAGAUUUGGCCAGAAUAACGAUUCAUAUAGAUGUGUGCUCAGCUCGCUGGCUUUGAUUUCUGUUCGUUAUGCUGGAUUGCCCAGGUCGGUUUAGUUGAUUCUGUGGAGAUAUUUGACAUGAUCGGAAUGAGAAAUCGAAGGGUGUGGUUUGGAUUUGUCUGUUCCAUUCAAGGUUGUUGAUUCCCUAAUGUUCUGCUUACAAAUACUAGUUGCGAUAAAAAAAACAACUAUCUGGAUGCACUUUGGACGGUCAUGAUUCUGCAUUUUUUACUCAAUCAGAAUUUCAUAGUUGGAAAAAAGGUUUGCUAGAUCUGUCUGGAACUAUUAGCUUUCUGCCAGAAAAGCUAUAUGCGAGAUUAUCUGAAGGUGGUUGUGCUAUAUUAUGGGUCAUCUAAUAAAGGUAGAAAAGCAAGGAUGUUGUAGUUAAGAGAUGUUGAACUCUGUGGACAUGCUAGCAAUUCAUCAGUGGUGAUAUUUGGUUAUCUUUGGUCAGUUUAAUUUCAAGAUCUGAACUAAAAAAAUGAAGGGUCUUGUUUCGUUUGCCUUCUUUGAGGAUUAAUCAAUUUGGUUUGGAAAAGUACCUUAAUGGUAGUAGAGGCAGUGCUUUUGAAGUUGUUUGUUUGAAGGUUCUUUGAAGUUUAGCAAGCUGUGAAGUGUUGUGUCUGCUCGACUAAGUAUGCUGUUUUUGACUUGGGUGUCACGUCAAGGCAUAUAUAAUGCUACCACAUGAUUGGAAUGAGAAAUUGAAGGUUGCGGUUUGGAUCAGUCUGUUCCAUUCAAAAUUCACUAACUUACAGCUAUCUGGGUACAGUUCGGACAGUCUCAGAUUGUGCAAUUUUUUGCUGUUGAUCCUGUUUCUUCAUGACUAAGUGAUCAGAAUUAUACAUAUAGUUGGAAAAGGUUUACUAGAUCUGCCUGGAAUCAUUUGCUUUUCGCAGCAAGCUAUAUAUCAAUAUAUAUAUGCUUAUCUGAAGGUGGUUGUGCAAUAUUAUGGGCCAUGUUAUAUAAAGUUAGAAGCGAGGAUGGUGUAGUUGGGAAAUAUUUUUGUUUUGUUGAACUCUGUGGACGUGCUCGUGGCGAGGUGAUUUUUCAGUGGCGGUAUUUGGUUCUCUUUGGUCAGCUUAAUUUGAAGAUCUGAACUUAAAAACUGAAGGGGCUUGUUUUGUUUGCCUUCUAUUCUAGGAGUAUUUUGGUUUGGCAAGUGAAGUUGUAGAGGCGUGCCUUUGAAGUUGUUCAUUUGAAGUUUCUUUCUUCAGGAAGCUGUGAAAUAUUCUUCGAGUUGUGUCUGCUCGACUAAGUUUACUGCUGCUGUUUUUGACUUGGGUGUUACGUCAAUGUCUUGGUCGGAUUUAUCGCAAAAUAAGGUGUUAUCUCUGGUAUCUUCUGAUCUUUUAUGAUGAUAUGGUCUUCAAUAGCAUGGUUGGAUUUCCGCUUCAUGGAUAGUCGUUUGUUAGUCUUCUGGUUGGCGUGCUCAAUGCAGUGUCGGAUUAGUUAAUUAUAUUAACUUGUUUAGUUGUAUCUGUCAUCGUAAUAUAUUUUGUACAUAACUGUUGAUCACACAUCUUGUCUGAUGUUGGAAAUUGUAACUGUUCAAUGUUAUUAUGGAUGACCUGAUAUAGUUUUGUAUUGUAAGAGUGUUACCAUGGAUGGCUUGUUUUUUUUUUGCUCUGGUGCAUUGAAGUUUUAAUAAAAUAUGGCUUGAUCUUUUUUUUGGCUUUCAUGGAUUAAACCUAAUUUUGUCUCAAAAUCAAUAAGUUUAUCUAGUAGAUUGUUGGGAGCAUCACACUGUUGAUUAUUUUGCUAAUAUCAGUUCAUUAAGACUUCAAUGAUCUUGCCCUUUACUCUUCUUAAACAAGUUAUGGAUAAAUAAGUUACAGUGCUUAUAUAUAUUUUGCUGUCUUAAUCAUGCACAAGUUUUGAACUUCCAUUUUAGGAUUCAUGUGUUGAUCCAACAUCUAAAUUUCUAUAACAUGUUCCCUCGCUAGGCAUAUAUUCUUGGCUCUGUAUCUUAGUAAGCUUUGAUUUAUGUGAGAUAAGUAGUUGUUGGUCUUUCUGUAGUCUAGUUUCUGAACCUGACCAAUAAAUUAAGUUGUUCAUGUGCUUAGGUACUUAAGAUUAUUGUCUAACUGUUAGAUGAUAUAUACACAUGACCUCAUUUAGUUUCUUCAUCUGGCCUUCACUUGUGAGGGUUUGAAUUUACUUCGUGGAUUGUUUAGUUCGACUUCUGCUAGUUUGUGUGCAUCUUAUCUGGUGUUGGAAACUGUAACUGUUAAAUGAUAUAUGGAUGACAUCAUUUAGUCCUAAAAGUUCUGUUUCCAUGGAUGGCUUGUUUUUUGCUCGGGUGCAUUGAAGUUGUGAUAAAAUAUAGCUUGAUCCUUCUUGUUUUGGCUUGCAUGGAUUAAACCUAUUCUUGUCUCUCAAGAACAACAUCAAUAUCUCGAUUCAUGGAUGUUUUAGAUAAUGUUAGUGAUAAGUAGAAGUUAGUGUCUUAUGAUCUUAUAUAAUAUCAAUUUUAGUAUUGUUCACUUGCAUCUAUUAGGUAAUGUAUGUAGAGGUUAGUACAUUAUAUUCUUUGUGUUUGGAUUGUUGGAGACAAAUUGUUAGUAUUGUUUAAGACAGUUUGUUAGAUGUCACCUGAAUAAUAUAUAGAUAAUAAAUAAAAGGGACGUGACAAUUUCACUCAUGCUUACCUUGUUUUGUUUGGUAUAUAUAUUAUAAUGUAGAGGUUAGUACAUUAUAUUCUUUGUGUUUGUAUUGUUAGAGACAAAUUAUUAUUAUUGUUUAAGACAGUUUGUUUGAUGUCACCUGAAUAAUAAUAAAUAAUAAAUAAAAAGGGAUGCGACAACUUCACUCAUGCUUACCUUGUUUUGUUUGGUAUCUCAGUAUUCUUAAAACCAAAGCUUUUCGCCAAUAUUAAAAAUAACCUCAGUUUUAGAGACACUUUGGUUUCAAAACUGCAACAUUUGUUAUAGCCAAACACCUGCAAAAUUAGGUUAGCGUAGCAUUAUUUUCUUCCUUUUUCUCCAACAUUCUGUCUCCGCUCCAUCCAUUUAGUUGUCUUCCUCUGAUGUUUGUUUUAUAUUUGUUCUACAUUACGAUAGAUUGGUAAGAGUUUUGUUUGAAUGUUUCAUUGACCAUGAUUUCCUUUUACUUGGAUGUAGAGGUAUGUUUUUGUUUCCUUCGAUUUGUAGUUCUGUGCAUUUGCAUGACUAUACUCUCAUUUGUUGUGAAUUCCAUUUUGCUAAUUUUCUUUAAGAUAUGCAGCUCGUUGUUAGCAUGAAAGCAUAUACCAACAUCUAUCACUGUCAGGUUGACUCGUAUCCAGAUUCUUCUUGAAUAGUACUAUAUUCUUUGUCCCUCUUCAGUGGUUAAUUACUAUAAACAUGUUUCAUGGCUAGGCACCUUAAGCUUGACUCUGUACUUUUAACCAGUCCAUGUCUUACUCUAUUAGUAUCAUUUUAGAAACAUAGUUCAGCAUUAAGCUUUAGUUUAUGCAUUAAACUUUAGUUUAUGUGAAGGCAAUAUUAUGAGAUAAGGUGGCGGCCUUUUUUUGGUUCUAUCCUUCUGUUUGACGGUCUGUUGAGUCCCCCUUAUAGUUUGCCAACCUCCUCAAUGUAUUAAUUUUGUUCAUGUGCUUAGGUACUUAUGAUUCUUGUAUAGAUUAACUGAUUGCUAACAGUUUUAUUUUCUGAUUUGGAAACUUCAUGUGUGAUUUAGCUUGCCUUUUGCCCUUUAUUUAUCUAGCUGAUAUUAUAGGCAAGUUAAGUAAUUUGAUGACAGGGUUAUUAUAUAUUGAAUUAUGGUAUUAUAAAUGUAAGGUGCUUCAUUAUCAAAAUUAAAACCUUGAAUUGAUUUUUGGCAUUCGGCUGUCUACUUUAAAAACUUUCAUGUCCCUAAUUCAUGUGAUGUCAGUUCACAAGUUAUUGUUCCUGAAAUAAUAUUUUUUUGGCUUGAUUCAGUGUGUUAAAAUCAUUUAAUAAUUUUUUUUUAAUAAUGACCGGUGUUCAACUGUUCACAUGAAUCUUUUAGAUAGUGUUUCAUGCUAAAUAGAAAUUGAUCUCUGAUGAUCGUAUUCAGUGUAUGGUGUUCACUUGAACCUUGUAGAUAAUGUUACAAGCUUAGGUAAGUAGAAGUUAGUAUGUUUUAUGCUUUAUUGUUUAAGACAAUUUGUUAGAUUUUACCUGAUUAAUAAAUAAUAGAGAUGUGGCAACUGUCACUCAUGCUAAUUUUAAUUUUUGAAUUGUUUUUGGUUGUUCUGCAGAUAAUUUCAGAUAACAUUCUCCAGAAAUAUUUACUUCCAAUAUUUAUGUCUACAUAUUUUCUUUCCGAUUUUCUUGCCUUUUUCCCGGUGCUGCUUGGAAUUUGCAUCACGAGCUUAUUGCACACCAUCAUGUCUAUUUAUUGUUGGUACAGUAUUUUUCAGCCUUUUUGUGCUAAUAAAAGUUUGGUUCGUCGUGGGUAUGUAUCCUGUUACGUUUGCUUGUUAAAGUCAAGGUGAUUAAGAACUAUGCUCUUCUAUUUUGAGUUUUUGUGUUUUGUUCCAUUUUCUUGUUUUGUACUGGUAUCUAUGUAUUAUGUGGUUCCAAAUCUGUUACCUCAUAAUGUAUCAAAAUUUUGUUACUGCAAGAGACUCAACUUUCCACCUCAUAAUGUGUUGUUCUUGACGUAUGGCUUUAUUUUUUCUAUAUACAUCUAGCUUUCACCUGAGUAUGAAGUUUGAUGUGCUUGCUUUUCCUGUUUCUUCUAAUACUGCCCUAAAGACUUACAAAGAUCAACUGAGUCACGGUUUCAUGUCCUGUGAUCGGAUAGUACUCUUAUUUUAUGACUUGUUGCUGUGUCGACCUUCUAACUUUUUUUGAAGUGUCUAUAUUGAUUGAAUUUCUUAGUCACCUUAAUCUAGUUGGGUGAAACUUUAAUUUGCAGUUAUUCUUAACCUUGCAUGGUAGCUUUAUUAAAAAUUUCCGGGUGCAUUGACUGUUUUGUGCAUCAUUGUGAAUGCCUCGUGCCUAAAUAGACACAUAAUUUGGUAAGGCGAAUCCAUAUUGUCUUGUAUUGUUGUCAUACCUUUCAGUGUUUCUUUUGCUUUUCUCCUAUAAAACAUUCUAUGUUUCUGCUAUGUAUGUGGCCAAAUUAUUCAUUCACUAGCCUAUCGUUUCCGAUUGAGAACUGAAAUAAGGUAUUUAGUUGGCUCGUUUUGACUGUAUUUGUAAUGUCAUUUGGCACUCCAGGCUUGAAAUUCCUAAUUCCAUAUCUGUGCUUGACCUGUUGUGACUUCUCUAAACAAGGUGUGUUUAAGUUUUAUUGGUAACCAGAAUUAUGUAUCUAGGUACAUAGUUUGGCUGCGUUGACGACAUUAUAUUGGGUGUAGCGGAUGUCAUUUAACUAUGUAGUUGCAUGCAAACUUAGGAGUGCUUAUGGUGUGUACGAAAGGAUUUGUAGGCUGUCUCUUGUAUUGAUAGUAUCAUGGGUUUCUUUGUUUUGAAUGGUGGUAGUUUCUUAUUAUACUUCUAUGGUUGAUCUGGAUUGUUGGCAGCAAUAUUGAUCGGAAAAUUUAGGAUUACUUGUCUCCAUAAAUAAUCUUUAUCUUUCUUUUUUAUUUACAUACAAGGUGGCUAUGUAUGU